rnacentral:rRNA from 1 species
UCCAAUCCUGCAUGUCUAGUAUAAGCAAUUUAUACUGUGAAACUGCGAAUGGCUCAUUAAAUCAGUUAUCGUUUAUUUGAUAGUUCCUUUACUACAUGGUAUAACUGUGGUAAUUCUAGAGCUAAUACAUGCUUAAAAUCUCGACCCUUUGGAAGAGAUGUAUUUAUUAGAUAAAAAAUCAAUGUCUUCGGACUCUUUGAUGAUUCAUAAUAACUUUUCGAAUCGCAUGGCCUUGUGCUGGCGAUGGUUCAUUCAAAUUUCUGCCCUAUCAACUUUCGAUGGUAGGAUAGUGGCCUACCAUGGUUUCAACGGGUAACGGGGAAUAAGGGUUCGAUUCCGGAGAGGGAGCCUGAGAAACGGCUACCACAUCCAAGGAAGGCAGCAGGCGCGCAAAUUACCCAAUCCUAAUUCAGGGAGGUAGUGACAAUAAAUAACGAUACAGGGCCCAUUCGGGUCUUGUAAUUGGAAUGAGUACAAUGUAAAUACCUUAACGAGGAACAAUUGGAGGGCAAGUCUGGUGCCAGCAGCCGCGGUAAUUCCAGCUCCAAUAGCGUAUAUUAAAGUUGUUGCAGUUAAAAAGCUCGUAGUUGAACUUUGGGCCCGGUUGGCCGGUCCGAUUUUUUCGUGUACUGGAUUUCCAACGGGGCCUUUCCUUCUGGCUAACCUUGAGUCCCUUGUGGCUCUUGGCGAACCAGGACUUUUACUUUGAAAAAAUUAGAGUGUUCAAAGCAGGCGUAUUGCUCGAAUAUAUUAGCAUGGAAUAAUAGAAUAGGACGUUUGGUUCUAUUUUGUUGGUUUCUAGGACCAUCGUAAUGAUUAAUAGGGACGGUCGGGGGCAUCAGUAUUCAAUUGUCCGAGGUGAAAUUCUUGGAUUUAUUGAAGACUAACAACUGCUAAAG